UACGAAGGGGGCUAGCGUUGUUCGGAAUUACUGGGCGUAAAGGGCGCGUAGGCGGGCGAAUCAGUCAGGGGUGAAAUCCCAAGGCUCAACCUUGGAACUGCCUUUGAUACUGUUUGUCUUGAGUUCGAGAGAGGUAAGUGGAACUGCGAGUGUAGAGGUGAAAUGCGUAGAUAUUCGCAAGAACACCAGUGGCGAAGGCGGCUUAUUGGCUCGAUACUGACGCUGAGGCGCGAAAGCGUGGGGAGCAAACAGG
rnacentral:rRNA from 1 species